rnacentral:rRNA from 1 species
UACAGAGGUGGCAAGCGUUGUUCGGAAUUACUGGGCGUAAAGGGCGCGUAGGCGGUCCUCUAAGUCUUGUGUGAAAUCCCUCGGCUCAACUGAGGAACUGCACGGGAUACUGGAAGACUUGAGUUCGGGAGAGGGAAGCGGAAUUCCGGGUGUAGCGGUGAAAUGCGUAGAUAUCCGGAGGAACACCGGUGGCGAGGGCGGCUUCCUGGACCGAUUACUGACGCUGAGGCGCGAAAGCUAGGGGAGCAAACGGG